GACGAACGCUGGCGGCGUGCCUAAUACAUGCAAGUCGAGCGGACGGAUGGGAGCUUGCUCCCAGACCGUCAGCGGCGGACGGGUGAGUAACACGUGGGCAACCUGCCUGUAAGACUGGGAUAACUCCGGGAAACCGGGGCUAAUACCGGAUAACUCUUUCCCUCACAUGAGGGAAAGCUGAAAGAUGGCAUCUCGCUAUCACUUACAGAUGGGCCCGCGGCGCAUUAGCUAGUUGGUGAGGUAACGGCUCACCAAGGCGACGAUGCGUAGCCGACCUGAGAGGGUGAUCGGCCACACUGGGACUGAGACACGGCCCAGACUCCUACGGGAGGCAGCAGUAGGGAAUCUUCCGCAAUGGGCGAAAGUCUGACGGAGCAACGCCGCGUGAGUGAUGAAGGUUUUCGGAUCGUAAAACUCUGUUGUCAGGGAAGAACAAGUACCGGAGUAACUGCCGGUACCUUGACGGUACCUGACCAGAAAGCCACGGCUAACUACGUG
rnacentral:rRNA from 1 species